AUCCCUGGAGUUGAGAGUAGACGUUUGGUACUGAGUUAACGACAAGUAGGGCGGGCCACGAGAAAUCCUGUCUGAAUAUUGGGGGACCAGCCUCCAAGGCUAAAUACUCAUCAUCGACCGAUAGUGAACAAGUACCGUGAGGGAAAGGUGAAAAGAACCCCGGGAGGGGAGUGAAAUAGAUCCUGAAACCGCAUGCUUACAAAAAGUAGGAGCCUCGAAAGGGGUGACUGCGUACCUUUUGUAUAAUGGGUCAGCGACUUACAUUCAGUGGCAAGGUUAACCGAAUAGGGAAGCCGUAGAGAAAUCGAGUCCGAAUAGGGCGAAAUUAGUCGCUGGGUGUAGACCCGAAACCAAGUGAGCUAUCCAUGGCCAGGAUGAAGGUGCCGUAACAGGUACUGGAGGUCCGAACCGACUAAUGUUGCAAAAUUAGCGGAUGAGCUGUGGAUAGGGGUGAAAGGCUAAACAAACUUGGAAAUAGCUGGUUCUCUCCGAAAACUAUUUAGGUAGUGCCUCAAGUAUUACCAUCGGGGGUAGAGCACUGUUUUGGCUAGGGGGUCAUGGCGACUUACCAAACCAAGGCAAACUCCGAAUACCGACGAGUACAGCUUGGGAGACAGAGCACCGGGUGCUAACGUCCGGACUCAAGAGGGAAACAACCCAGACCGCCAGCUAAGGUCCCUAAAAUUGGCUAAGUGGGAAACGAAGUGGGAAGGCUAAAACAGUCAGGAUGUUGGCUUAGAAGCAGCCAUCAUUUAAAGAAAGCGUAAUAGCUCACUGAUCGAGUCGUCCUGCGCGGAAGAUGUAACGGGGCUAAGCCAGUUACCGAAGCUGCGGAUGUGCAAUUUAUUGCACGUGGUAGGAGAGCGUUCUGUAAGCCUGUGAAGGUGCGUUGUAAAGCGCGCUGGAGGUAUCAGAAGUGCGAAUGCUGACAUGAGUAGCGUUAAAGGGGGUGAAAAGCCCCCUCGCCGUAAGCGCAAGGUUUCCUACGCAACGUUCAUCGGCGUAGGGUGAGUCGGCCCCUAAGGCGAGGCAGAGAUGCGUAGCUGAUGGGAAACAGGUCAAUAUUCCUGUACCGAUUACAAGUGCGAUGUGGGGACGGAUCUUAAUAGGUUAUCCGGCGGUUGGAUGUGCCGGUUUAGACAGAUGUAGGCGACACGUAGGCAAAUCCGCGUGUCAUAUACCGAGGCUGUUGAUCGAGCGAGCUUGCUCGCGAAGUAACUGAACGAGGUCCCAGGAAAAGCCACUAAGCUUCAGCUUGUAAUUGACCGUACCGCAAACCGACACUGGUGCGCGAGAUGAGUAUUCUAAGGCGCUUGAGAGAACUCUGGAGAAGGAACUCGGCAAAUUGACACCGUAACUUCGGAAGAAGGUGUGCCCUUGUAGUGUGAUGAGAACAUCUGAGCACGAAGGGGUUGCAAAAAAUUGGUGGCUGCGACUGUUUAUUAAAAACACAGCACUCUGCAAACACGAAAGUGGACGUAUAGGGUGUGACGCCUGCCCGGUGCUGGAAGAUUAAUUGAUGGGGUGCAAGCUCUUGAUCGAAGUCCCAGUAAACGGCGGCCGUAACUAUAACGGUCCUAAGGUAGCGAAAUUCCUUGUCGGGUAAGUUCCGACCUGCACGAAUGGCGUAACGAUGGCCACACUGUCUCCUCCAGAGACUCAGCGAAGUUGAAAUGUUUGUGAUGAUGCAAUCUCCCCGCGGAAAGACGGAAAGACCCCAUGAACCUUUACUGUAGCUUUGUAUUGGACUUUGAACAGAUCUGUGUAGGAUAGGUGGGAGGCUUUGAAGCGUGGUCGCUAGAUCAUGUGGAGCCAACGUUGAAAUACCACCCUGGUGUGUUUGAGGUUCUAACCUAGGUCCAUUAUCUGGAUCGGGGACAGUGCAUGGU
rnacentral:rRNA from 1 species